rnacentral:sRNA from 1 species
GCCGGGUGUGGUGGUGCACACCUGUAAUCCCAGUGGCUCAGGAGGCUGAGGAAGGAAGAUCACGAGUUCAAAGCCAGUCUCAGCAACUUAGUGAGGCCCUGUCUCUA